rnacentral:lncRNA from 1 species
GAUGAAGGAAAGAGAUUUUCAAAGAUGGACUGUAAAGUCCCGGAGAAGGACAUUUCAAGAAACUAGAGCCCAAACUACUACACUAGAACUGAGAGUGAAGGUCCAAACUCAAUAUUCUUUUCAAAAUCAUUUUCAAAAAUGGUGAACAAAGUCGUUGAGUAUGUAGACUAGUAAUAAGUUAUGGGUUUAUCCAGAGAAAGAAGACAGAAAAAAAUAGAAAAGAAAGUGUGGGAUGACUUGAAAAAAAAAAAAAAAGAACAAAAGCAAAAUAAAAUAUUAGCAUAACCUCUUCGGCUGGCGGGGACUGAAUUCAGACUUUGUAAGAACAUAUAACUAGGUAAAGUUUCAAAAGUUGAAAACACAUAACAGACAUGAAGAAAAUGAAACAAAUAAACAAAUAAUUCAGAUGGAAUCACAAAUUCCAUAUUACGAUUAGGACCAAAAUGGUUAGGGAAAGGUAGAUACGGUUAAAAUAAUAAAUAGAUCUAACUAUGAUCACAGUUAUGUAUCCCAAACCAAACUAUAAGCACAUAGCAAGAACAUCCUCUCAGACAAAGCUAUAUGGCCACAACUGACAAAAGGGAUCAGGAAAAUUAGUAAUUGCUUGUAUAUAUGGCUUCCACCUUCCAUUCCACCUAUAUAAAAUCACACUAUUUCCCUUGCUUAGUCACAAAGCAGAACAACUUUGUACAACAAAAAUAACUUCAGUAUUAUAGCUCUACCUCUACCUCUACCAUUAUUUUCAAAUAUGACAAAACCUACGUAUAUCCUUGGCUAGCCUAUGUUUUGCAUGACAGGGAUCUACUGCAUGAUCAGACAGGCUGCAAAUUUCAUUAAGCCAAAGCAAUCGUAGGGCAACUCUUCUUUGGCAGGUCAAUGAAAGUGAUUGUGCAUUUGUAGCUGCAUCAGUCACCAGUGCCUGCCAAGAAAGAGGAGCCCUAUGACUGCUUUGCUUAUUUGACAAGUAUACUUCUUCUAGUAUGUAUAGAUGCUCCUGCUUGUGUUUCAAUGAUGGACCAGCAUGAGUUAUAUAAGGGCUCAAAGACUCCAAGAGAUGGAAUAAACCACUAAGCACAAAUGGCAUAUCCUGAGGAUUAUGCUGUGAACAUCCAUCAAGGGCCGCUUUUCAAGGAUUUUGUUGGGGCCAGGGCUCAUUCUGCUGCUAGAUUUUUCUCCUCCUUAUCCGAGCCUUGAAAGCGCUCUUUCCUAGCAUAUGAGAUCCUUCCACUCUCUGUGUCCAUGAAAAUGUCCAACGAAGUUGAAGCAGGAAAAAAGUAGAUGAAAGGAGAUGCCUCCCCAUAUUAUUGUAAGGGGCUGAGAAAGAAGGACUAACAGCAUAUCCUAAUCUUAUUCGUCUUCUUUUCUUUUUUGCCUACGUGUGUAUAUUAGUAAUUUCUGUCUUGAAUACAAAUAAAGAGUCUAACUUCUAUAGUGAGCCAUCAUUAUAGGAUCUCCAAAUUAGUUUGACUUUAGUUAAUCUGCUGCACUUUCAGUCCUUCCGUGGGUAUCUCUUUCUAACCAUGCCAUGAUUGUGCGCAAUGCCUCAUUCGUUAAUUUGGUAAUCAUUUUUCAAAUCUUUCUUUUGCGAACGAUGUACAAAAAAAUCAUCACAACUAAAGAAAAAUAAGGCCUACCUGAAGGACUUCAUGAAGUUAGAGCGCAGCCCAUGUGAUCAAAAGUUCUGAAAGUGCUUGCAGUUGUGUUGUGUCAUCCUCACCUCCUUACUAGUUUCCUUCCUAAUUACGCUCUUAACAAAAUAAACAAAAACUAACUAAUUAUUUUUAGAGCUAAUUUAGUUUUAUUAGUAAGGCGUAUAUUCAAUCACAGGAAGGCUAAUCUAGUCAAGCUGAGUACAGAAAGUUUUGCUUGAACCAUACCAGAUCUGACCAAUUCAACACCAAAUGUGAUGAUAGGUAAAUAAACAUGACAUCAACUAUAUAGAUUUUAAAAUUUUAGGUUCCAAUCUCUACAAUAUUAAUCAAAUGUCUCAGAGACAUAUAUUCCAAAAUCACUAAUUGACUUUAUGUUUGGGAAACAUAAGUGACCAGAUCAAUUUUUCUUUUUUGAUCCAUGGACUAAUCUGUCAUGCAGAAUCCUUUGCCCCAUGUACCUGCACCACAAGCACAACAAACGAAACCAAAAUGCAGGUUUAAGCAGCAAUUAGUAUAAGAUUUUAGUGAAGAUUAUGUAUACUUGCCUUCCAAGCAUCAUGACAGUAGCUUCAGGAUUAGCACCCGGGGUGUGAUAAAACGUUGAAUCAUCAAUACCAAGAACUCUAUAUCCUUUAUCAACAACCCUCCCAACUUGACACCCUCCAUGAUAGUGCCAUAUGGUCUGUUGGAAAUUUUGGAAAUAACAUAUAUUAUUAAAGCCUUAAAUUUUGGAAAUUUUGCAAAAUACAUACAGUUUAGGAAAUUCUUGCAAUGAAUCUAGAUGGGAAUUCUGAAUUUCCACAAUCAUCAUACCUUUGGUGCAAAUAAACUAUAAGAUAGAAAACAAUAACAAAAAAGGAAUCUUGGGUGGGAAUCACAGACAACGAUUGCAAAAAAUGGGCCGCCCAGCGCCUAGUCGCCGCCUAGGCCGAUUUUUCCAACACAGUUUAAAACUCCCACAAACUAUUUCAGCUGCUCUCAAAUGAUCCAUAACUCUAAUUAACAAGCACAAAAUGACAUACAUAUGGGAAUCACAUACAACCAUUUCGAAAAAUCGGCCGCGGAGCGCCUAGGCGGCCGCCUAGCCCGAUUUUUUUCCAACACUGUUUAAAACUCCCACAAACUAUUUCAGCUGUUCUUGAAUGAUCCAUAACUCUAAUUACCAAGCACAAAAUGACAUAUAUGUAUAUAUAUAUAUAUAUGCAUAGUUCGAGUAUGAAAUUACCAAAAUUGCAUCGAUGUCAUCCUCAGGUGAGAGCUUCUGGUCUCUCUACGAGCUCUCUUUUCCUCAGUUUUCGCUGCUUUCUCUUUGCCUUUUCCUGGCUUCUUCAUCUUCUUCCCCAUGUCUGGAAACACUGCCAAAGAGGCCCAGACUCGGCGCGAGGAAGAAGAGAGAGAGUUAUCUGGACGACGCUAAUACUACGAUUUUUAUUAUUUAAAAAUAGUAUAGCCGCGCGGCUAUACUAUUUGUGACGCGUGGCAAUGUGUGAGAGCUAGCGCCAGGCGGGUAGUUUUUGUUUAUGAACAGUAUAGCUGUUCGGCUAUACUCGGUUUUUGUUUUUAAUAAAAAGAGUAGAGCCGCGCGGGUAUACAUAAUUCUGAGUGGUUUAUCUUCUUUCUACAAGUAUACAACAAAAGGUAAGUAAUUACAAUCCCAUCUAAUACAGGAAUCCUAUAAUUAUACGGGAUAACAAUUCCUAGUUUGCAAAGUUUUUUUUGAGGAUGUACUCAACAUUUGCAGGAUCUGUGGUGAUAACAUAAUUUAUGAACAAGUUAAGCGCCCUAUAAGUUUUGUGUUUGUAUCCAAAGUCAGUCAUGUAAUCGUGCAGCCUAUAGAAGUUCAUUAGAGUGUUUAAGAAGUUUGUGACAACAGGAUGGUAUCUCUUUUUGCUCUCAGUACCCAAUCUUCUAGCAUGGGACUGAUCAUAAUUGUAGCUAAAAUUACUGCUAAACUUAUUGCUAUGGGAGGUAUCGGAGUGGAAAGAAAAUCCAUGACACUGAAGACAAAAGUCGAGCACAGAGUGAAUAUUAGAGCAUACCUCGAGGAAUUUCUUCCAGCAAGUGAAUUCAUUCCAUAAGGGUGCUUGCUUGAUGACGGUGCUUAACUUCUCAGAUAGCAAAAUUACAGCUCUCAUGGUCUUACAUAUGAAACAUUUCAUUGAGAACAAGUAGACACCUGCCUUUCCUCAUGAAAACUACACCCUAACUGUCUUUUCAUUAUUCUCAUUAGAGUGAUUCUGUAAAGCACAUGCCUUUCUGUCACAGAGAAUUCAAGAAGAACCCCAUCGAUUUCAAUCAUGCUACAGCCCGGGACCUCCUUUUUUAUCCCUGUUUCUUUCAUUAAGGAUUUGAUUCUCUUUACGUCAUCAAAUCUACUAGCUUUGACAUAUAUAUCACACAAGUUCACAUAAAAAGCAUGGUUCAGAGGUUCCAAAUCAAUUAAAUAUUGCGCCACCCUUUCUCCUAACUCGACCUUUCCAUGUAUUUGACAGCCUCCGAGCAAUGCACCCAAAACAAAUGUAUCUGGCUUCAUUGGCAUGCUUCUUAUAAGCAUAUCAACCCGGCACGACUAAGCAUAUCAACCAUGUUUGCAUAGUGAUAGAGCUGCGGUUCAAUUAAGUAAACACGCUUCAUCACACGAAAACACCAGUAGACCUGAAAAAUCAUUUGUUGACAGCUUCAGUGACUCCAUUUGACCUGAACUACACCCUGACAAGCUUCCCAAUAUUUCUGAUACGCUUCCAUUGAAAUAGUUCCUUGACAGAUCAAGAACCGCCAACUUACAAAGAUUUCCCAAUGAGUUUGGCAUUUUCCCUUCAAUUUGAUUAGCAGACAAGUCAAGAUUGACAAUGGAUGCAGAAUUAUUCCAGCGAACUUUGAGUCUGAGAGGUUAAGAUAUCUUAAACUUUUAAGAGAACCUAAGAAGCUAGGAAUCUGUAUUCCUCAAAAAUCAUUGUUGCUUGGAUAUCCAUGUAGCUCAGAUGCUUUAAAUUUAGUAGAGAAGUAUUUACCUUGCCACCCAAAGAGCUUUCUUGAUACAAACUGUGAUUCAGAUACUCAUCUGAAUAAUAAUUUCCAAGGUGCAGCUCAGGGACAUGACCGGUUAAAUUGUCGCAGACAACUCCAGUCCAAUUGCAACAAUCUCCCUCACCAACCCAAGAUAAAAGCCUAUUUGAAGGAUCCUUAAGAUCUUGCUUGAAAAUUAGAAGUGCUUGUCUCUCAUUUUGUUUACAAGCCACACCCAAAUUUCCAUUGCAUAAGCUAAUGGUAGUAAUGGUUGCAAUGCUUAGAAAUCUGAAAACUGAAACAAUUCUCAUGGCUUUGUCCGUGAGCUUAUAUCUUAAUAACUCAUUUAGAACGGUGCAAUAUAUAUACACAUACUACUACACUAGAACUGAGAGUGAAGGUCCAAACUCAAUAUUUUUUUCAAAAUCAUUUUCAAAAAAUGGUGAACAAAGUGUGGGAUGACUUGAUAAAAAAACAAAAGCAAAAUAAAAGAUUAGCAUAACCUCUUCGGCUGGCGGAGACUGAAUUCAGACUUUGUAAGAACAUAUAACUACGUCAAGUUUCAAAAGUUGAAAACACAGAACAGACAUGAAGAAAAUGAAACAAAUUAGUAAUUGCUUGUAUAUAUGGCUUCCACCUUCCAUUCCACCUAUUUAAAAUCACACUAUUUCCCUUGCUUAGUUACAAAGCAGAACAACUUUGUACAACAAAAAUAACUUCAGUAUUAUAG